rnacentral:tRNA from 1 species
GCCUGGGUGGCUUAGUCGGUUAAGCAUCCGACUUCAGCUCAGGUCAUGAUCUCACGAUUUGUGGGUUCGAGCCCCAUGUCAGGCU